UGAACUUAGUGUAUGUAAACUUCUGACCCAGUGGAAUUGUGAAACAGUGAAGUUUAAGUGAAAUAAUCUCUCUAAACAAUUGCUGGAAAAAUUACUUCUGUCAUGCACAAAGUAGAUGUCCUAACCGACUUGCCAAAACUAUAGUUUGUUAAUUAACAAGAAAUGUGUGGAGUGGUUGAAAAACGAGUUUUAAUGACUCCAACCUAAGUGUAUGUAAUCUUCCGACUUCAACUGUAUGUACUGUAUGUGUUUAGUACACGUGUCCACAGGCAUAUGUAUGUAAAUAGUCUUUAGAUAGCAGUCCUCUCUCUGACAUCACAAACAAGUUGAUGUUUUGUUGGACAGGAGACACCACUCCUCCAGUACUUUCUCCCUCUCUCUAUGUGUGUGUGAUUGUGUGGGCGGAGACAGGUGUGCUGGAGUCAGAGCAGAUCCCCACCAGCUGCAACCUGUUCCAUAAUCAAGACCUCUACAAAUACUCAGCCCUGCCACUUCCACGCUGCUGGAUCGUAAUCUCUGCUCAUUCUGCCUGCUCUGACUCUGGUCCCUGUCUCCAGUCCCACGUCUCGUAAUUGUGCUACUCUGUCCUGAAUUCCCCACUCUACUACUCCCUUGGAUUCCCCUGAGGCUCCAGCCUCAGCCUCCGCACCUGGUUUCCAGCAACCCGCCCGAGCUUCCCCUGACCUGCACUCCAUCUCCCCCCUGUGUUUCAAUAAAUACCUUGGUUACUUCAUCCCAGUCUCCUCGUCUGAGUCUGCUCUUGGGUUCCACUCCGCGUAACAGGCAUUCAGGCCAAAUA